GCAAUGCUGGUGAAUCUUGAAAAAACGAUUUUAGAAGCAGGCAAAUAUGUAAGUUUAUUGAAGCAAAUUUAUAUAUGUGAUUCACCAAUUGCCUCCAAAAACCAAAUAUUCUUAUCGUUUUAAAGCGUUAACUCGUCAGAGUUGCGCGUUUUCGACGCCGGCCUGAAACCUAAUGAAGCAAAAGCUAUGCAAUCCUUCAUGACGAUGCCAUCGCACCGUUCUUGUCUGCAUUAAAUGGGGGAACUCCUACAUAGCCGUAUCCAGGAUUUGCCAUCCAAAAAAAACACGACUAAAUGAGGGUCUUCCAUCCCCAAUUUUUGAUUUAUGAAUAUUGGCCCCCUUUUAUUUGAAGAUUUUGCGAAAGUGCUUGUUUAAGAGGGUUAUUGCUUUGACAACUGAUAUAUGUCUAUUAAAACGUUCAGUGUUUAUAAAAUUAUGUUUUGGAGCUCGAACCAACCAACCUACCAAAUAAAACCAAAUUUUUAUAUUCA